AAAAUUUCCACGUCGGCAAAAGUCAAGAUGGAAGGGAGCGGAGCGGAGCGCGAGGGGGGAGCCGGCCCGGGAAUGCCUGGCGGCCGGCGCUGGAGGGGCAGGCUGGGGAGCCUGCGGCGGGCGCACGAGGGGCCACUCGCGAAGGUGUCCCGGCCCAGCGCGACCACCGCCCCCAACCCCGGGAGCCUCUGGGCGCCCCGCACUCCGCCAGCCGCCCGUGCACCCCGGCCCGGGGGACGCAGCCCACUGCCCCUCCGGCCUUGUCUCUUAGGGGUGGCGGGGGAUGGAACGGUGGCGAGGGGUUUGGGGGAAGAUGGGAAAGCACUUUCCAGACCUGUUGCACGCGCGCAACAGCUGUUCAGCUCCGAAUAUUCGUCCUCGUGCAGCGCCCCCGCCCCCAGCUUUCCAGAUGGGAAGGUAAAAAGUUGCCACAAGUUAGAGUGAGUUAGCUGCUGGCAAAAGUUUAAAUAACUACCGAGGGAGGUGAGGGUUCGACCAGGAAUGGGUUCUAAUCUGAGGACGGGUAGGAAGGAAGGAGAGUGUGCGAUUCUUGCAGCCCCUUUGCUGUGACAUUGCGACCAGAAUUUGUCGAAUCGGGCUGUUAAAACACCAUUUCUGUUGGGCAUUUGCUCCUGCUGACUGCGGCAGUAACUUUCCAUAAUUAAUGACCCGUUCCAUUAUCGGUCGCAUCCUGAACUAAAUUGCUUUUAACGAGUUAUUCUUCUUUGUCUUAGCUGGGGGGUGGGGGAACACACCUGCAGGAAGAAACUUCUGGAGGAAGACAGCACGUUUGGUCUUUUGAGGCAAAGUUCUGAGACACUCCGACUCUGAGUAUGAUAGAAGUCAGUGCACUACAGAACUUUGUCUCUAGAGGCUGUGGUCGCCGAUGCCGCCAGUGCUCCAGACGCCAGGCCGAGUGGCCCUGGUGGCCACGUCGCUGCGCCUUUCCCUUGGGGGAGGGGCAAGGCCAGAGGGGGUCCAAGUGCAGCACGAGGAACUUGACCAAUUCCCUUGAAGCGGGUGGGUUAAACCCUGUAAAUGGGAACAAAAUCCCCCCAAAUCUCUUCAUCUUACCCUGGUGGACUCCUGACUGUAGAAUUUUUUGGUUUAAAGAAGAAAAAAAUAAAGCUUUGGACUUUUCAAGGUUGCUUAACAGGUACUGAAAGACUGGCCUCACUUAAACUGAGCCAGGAGAGCUGCAGAUUUAUUAAUGGGUGUGUUAGUGUGCAGUGCCUUGCAGGAAUUUAAACUCUCUACCCUUAAAGAAGGAAAUGUAUUUGUACAAAAGCCACAGAUAAUGGUCCUUUUACUCAAGCGACCUGCUGGAUAAAUGACAGCCUGCAGGGAUUGAGUUUGGAGAUCUAGUCUCAAUUCUGCUUCCGAUUUAGAUGCAGUUCACUUUUGUUUUUUAAAGUAAGUUUUAUUAAUGGAAAGGAAGAACUUUUUCCAAGAAAGCAUUUUGAAAGCCACUGGGGGAGGGGGACAUUUAUGCUUUUGGGCUGUGGAGAUCCUUUAGGUGGAGAGACUGCUCUCUCAUCCCUAGUGGAAUGGAGGUUUGGGUUGGUGAGUUUCUAUCAAUAGCCUGCUCUCUAUAGUGGGUCAGUGACUGGCACCAAAUUGUAGUCCUGUUCCAUGGACAUUGCCCUGUUUUGGUUUUAUGAGCUUUUGGCCAGGCACAGGACGCAGGGUGGUAGGGAAAAAAGGAAAUGGUUCCUGUGCCCGUGGUGCUGACAGGUAAGGGAAGGGCCUUCUGAUGUAUUUUAUGGGAUGCUUCAGAAACCUGGGGGUUGCUUGUGUCUCUGGGAAGCCCUUGGUAAAGAAAGCCACCAUUUUUUUUACUUAGGUAUAUUCCAGUGGUUUAUCAUCGGGAGAGGGAUGAUAAUGGAGGAAGGCUCAAUGAGGGAGAAAGUAUUCAGCUGCUUGAUGUUAGAGCUUAAUGGCAGGACCUACCAGUUGCUUUUCACAGAAAUGCUGUGUAUUGAUCCUAAGGCAGCAUGUGUUCUCUUUUGUGUGGCCAUUAUCCAUUCUCCCACUUUUCCAUCAGUGACUGCUUUGCUUUUGUUCCUCAAUCCUUUACCCAAAAAUGGCUGAAUUAUUUCUGUGCAGUUAAAUAAAGUGAUCCAAACUCAAGUACGUCUUGUGUUCAUUUGAGAUGUAAGGUAUGCUUACUUGAGGAAGAGGAUUCUCUUUCCUAGUUCUUAUGUCUGUACAUCUCCACAAGAUAGUCUGAAUAUACUGAAUUUUAAGAAAACUUAAAUCAACUUUGUAAGAGAAUGGGAGGUAAAGAGUGGAGCGGUUGACUGGGAGAGUAGUCAUCCAUACAAAGGAAUUAGGUCAGGAUCUCUCACCUCCAGAGAAAGGCAAGGUUUGGAGUCCCUGACAUGAUUCAGUCUGGUUUGACUUCUAUGCUUAAGUGAUUUGCAUUUCUCCUGUUUGUGACCACAAGUGAGUUAAGGACUAACCAAGCAGGAGGGCUGUGGUUUACUCUGGUGCUAAGGAUGCCAGGAAUAGGAACUGGGAAAAUCGGCAGUCUUGGGGUGCUUACUGUAAACCUGGCAUGGUCUCAUAGACCUCAGUCGUUUAGCAAUCAGUGUAUUUUCACCUCCCGAGCAUCAGGUGUUACUCUAGACGUUACGAAUGCAACAGUGAACAAAAUAGGCCCCGAACCCUG
rnacentral:lncRNA from 1 species